AUUGAACGCUGGCGGCAGGCCUAACACAUGCAAGUCGAGCGGAUGAAGAGAGCUUGCUCUCUGAUUUAGCGGCGGACGGGUGAGUAACGCCUAGGAAUCUGCCUGGUAGUGGGGGAUAACGUUCCGAAGGGAACGCUAAUACCGCAUACGUCCUACGGUAGAAAGCAGGGGACCUUCGGGCCUUGCGCUAUCAGAUGAGCCUAGGUCGGAUUAGCUAGUUGGUGAGGUAAUGGCUCACCAAGGCGACGAUCCGUAACUGGUCUGAGAGGAUGAUCAGUCACACUGGAACUGAGACACGGUCCAGACUCCUACGGGAGGCAGCAGUGGGGAAUAUUGGACAAUGGGCGAAAGCCUGAUCCAGCCAUGCCGCGUGUGUGAAGAAGGUCUUCGGAUUGUAAAGCACUUUAAGUUGGGAGGAAGGGCAUUAACCUAAUACGUUAGUGUUUUGACGUUACCAACAGAAUAAGCACCGGCUAACUUCGUGCCAGCCGCCGCUGUAA
rnacentral:rRNA from 1 species